rnacentral:rRNA from 1 species
AUUGAACGCUGGCGGCAGGCCUAACACAUGCAAGUCGAGCGAGCGGCGGACGGGUGAGUAAUGUAUGGGGACUGCCCGAUAGAGGGGGAUCACUACUGGAAACGGUGGCUAAUACCGCAUACUAUCGGAUAACCCAUAUGGGAUUAGCUAGUAGGUGGGGUAAAGGCUCACCUAGGCGACGAUCUCUAGAUGGUCUGAGAGUAGGAUCAGCCACAAUUGGACGGAGAAACGGCCCAGAUACCGACGGAGGCAGCAGUGGGGAAUAUUGCACAAUGGGCGCAAGCCUGAUGCAGCCAUGCAGCGUGUAUGAAGAGGGCCUUAGGGUUGUAAAGUACUUUCAGCGGGGAGGCGUUACCCGCAGAAAAAGCACCGGCUAAAUCCGUGCCAGCAGCCGCGGUAAUAC